rnacentral:lncRNA from 1 species
UUGUUUGGCAGCAAGAGUGACAUGAAGUUGUCGAGGUUCAAAUGCAGCGAUCAGGGAUCAUCCGCGCGGAAAGAAAAAAAAAGAAAAAAGAAGAAGAGGAAAUCAUCAGAAAAUUUUGGGGUUCAAGAAAAGCAAAAUAAUAAUAAUCCCCAGCGGAGCGCAAAUUGUUCGUCUGUUCUUGGUAUUCAGCCACUCUUCACCCUGAUC